UUUUCUUCUUUGUCAGUACUUCCUGUAUACAAAGGAAGUUUGUGUACAUCAUCAUGAUGCCCAGCCCAAGUUUUAAAGUAGUCGGACGUAGCCGUUAAGCCACUUCGGAGGUCAACAUCAACCAAGAAAAAUAUUUGUUUUGUCUGUUUCAAAACACCAGAUACAUACACGCGGUCUUAAUUUACCAUAUAAGACAUUUUAUUUUGCUAUCAGUUGAGUAUUUGUGAGAAGAAGAGUUAAAAACGCAUCACACGACGAACGCGAAAGUCGUUUUUUUAGAACAUCCAAAACUGAUUGUAAGAAGGCCAGCAGACGACAAAGAAGUUAGUCUUACAGGUGGAACCCGGCGUACAAUUCCUUAAAUAAAAUCAAUUUCUGAGGUCACGCUAUGGUACCUGUACAAUAUGUUUAUAGUUACGUUAUUUUGAUAUGUUUGUUGAAUAUAUAUCCAGUGCCAGUGGUCAAAGCUAGCGACAAUUCUAUCAAAAUGUGCAAUUCGACUAAAAUAGAUCAAGUAAAUUGCACAAGGAAUUCCUCCGUUUCGCAAAAUAAUACAAAAAGUUCAAGAGUACCAGGCAAAAGACAAUAUCUGCAUAUCUCUCAUGCAUAUCAAGAACUCAUUUUUUUAUAUGUACCGAGAUAUGAUAUUUUCAUCAAUAUCUUCUCUGUUUAAUGAACUAUAGCAACUACAUGAUAUUCAACAUUGUUUGUUCCUCGUGAAAUUUGAAUUUUCAUAGAAACAGCAAAGUUUGUGUUGGUUGCCUUGAUAACAACAAAACAUAAAAAUUACAACAUUCCUCAAAUUAUGUCUACUUUAUGUAGUGGCGUAAAAGUAAGCCCGUAUAUUUGGUCGUGCUAUGCGAAUAUAUCACUGUUCACACAAAGUGGAAACUCAAAAAAUCUGUUCCUACAAAAAUAAUUAUUGGCAAUGUUCUCAAACUCAUAUAUAAGACUAAAACUUAAAAGCUUAUGCAAAAGUCGAUAUUUGUAAAACGACAUCAUUUUAAGUUUGGUCAUCAUUUGCAACAUAAACAUAAGCAUAAGAAGAAUUGACAGUUGAUAAUCUUUUGCAGUUAUGCUCAUGUUUAUACUUUUGCCGAAAGUGAGAACCAGGAUUUGAGCGUUAUAAUUUAGUUCCUCGUCUAAAAGAACAAAUUUUUGUUUUAAAAUAUUGCAACAUAUAAUAAACAUAUAUUUAUGUAUUUAAUAAGAAACCGAAGAAAAGUUUCUCACUUCCUCAAGAAAUAUUAAUAACAACAAUGGUGAUCUCCACAGUUGGUGUCCUAACAAAUGGUCUUCUUAUUGUUGUUAUUGUGAAGGAUCCUUUAAACGAACUAAGACGAGGACCGUGGAUUACCAUCUUAAGCUUAUCUAUAGCUGAUAUCACUGCAUCUUUGUCUCAAUUCAUGACUGUUGGAUUGGGUGAAUUGUUCGAGGUCAAACCAUCAGAAGCUGUCAUUUAUUCUGUCCUUUUCUUUUGGAUGUUUGGGGCUGCGGGCUCAUUUUUUCACUUGACAUCACUCACAUGGCAAACUUACAUGAUUGCAAAGUAUCCCAAAUACAGACAACAAAUGUUAUCUACGAAGAAAAUUUACAUAUUAUGCGCCACAGUUUGGUUGAUUGCCAUUUGCAUGGCAUUUGCUGAAGUCACAUCACUUUACAUAAAAAAAAUUGACCAGCUUAUGUAUAUCUAUAUCACGGUAUAUGCUGUCUUGGAAAUCGCUGUUUUACUUCAGAUCAUAUUGAAGUGUUUCAUACUUAAGGUUGUAUUGCAAAGUCGACAAGACACUAAAGUAAAUGCUAAACAGUACAACACUAAACACUUUGAAAUUGUAAAGACAAUCAUUGUGCUGAAUGUCUUAUUACUGGUAACUGCAUUUCCUUAUUUUGUCGCCAAACAAGUGGAGUUUAUUCAAAGGCUUGGAAAAAUACAAGGUGAAUUGGCUUGGCGUUUUUCUUACUACUACGAACCAGUUGCCAUGGUGAAUUUUGCUGUCAAUCCAAUUGUGUAUGCACUGAGGCUUCCAGAUUAUCGAAACAGUAUGAAGGCGUUGUUUAAAAAGACUAGAAUUGUUUCCAUUCAAAAACCAGGGCAUUCCAUCUUUUCACUUCGUACUAGUGCUAGUAAACCUGUAUGAUAGAUAAUAUGUUCUAAACUCAAUUUGAUUAAAAAUGUACGAAUAGUGCUAAUAGUUUUUAUUGGAAGAAUAAAUUCCAAAGUGACAAACAA